UAUUUCCUUCCUCCUUCCUCCUUCGCUUCGAAGUUCCAAAUAAAUGACUGUCUUGAGACUCUUCACUCUUGUCUGAAGUGGUGAGGUGAGAUCUCUGGUUUCAGGAGGAGGAGGAGGAGGAGGAUUCAUACAUACAUAGCACGCAAAAAAGUAAAUAAAUAAAUAAAAGCACACACAUGACACAACCUCAACCACGAGUAUCUUCUCAGGGGCAUCAUCCAUGGUUGACACCACAGCAAGCACAGCACUCGAGUAGAUUUCGCUAUCCUCUCGAUGGUUUCUAGGCCUUCCGGCCGUGGAGUCUCCGUGAAUUCCCUCAGCUGGAGGAGGAGAAGGUGAGUUACCAUUUCCGUCGUCAACAACGGUCAUGAAAAAAUCCCCCGUAAGAUGAGGUGGAAGAGUAGGUCGUAGGUCGCAGAUCGAAUAAUACAAUGGCAAAGGGUACAAUACCUAUUUGAGCAGAUUGUAUGUGAGAUAAGCGUGGAAGAUAAAGUAUUAUUCGAUCAGCGACCUCCUCCUCCGCCUCCGCCUCAUAUUAUGGAGGAUUUUUUCAUGGACGUUGUUGAUGAUGGAAAUGGUGACCGACCUUCCCCUCCAGCCGGCGCAAUUCAAGGAGACUCCACGGCCGGACAGACUAGAGACCAUUGAGAGAUAGCGAAAUCUAUUCCAGUGCUGUGCUGGUUGUGCUGUCAUCUCAUCUGUUAAUUUAGGGUUUCGGUUGUCUUUUUUUUCUGAAUCUGUUACUUCUUACAAAGCUUCUGCUGUCAAUCUCAUCCCUCAAGGCCGAUUACAUUCCGUAUGAACCGGGCUGGCCAAUCUCUCUGUCUCAAGUUAGAGUUUCUCCUUAUGGCUUUUCUCAAAUGUAUAUUUGGAUGGGAUGUUUUUCCAACUGUGGGAAUCUGUUGUUGCUAAGUGCUGACAAAAUAAGAUGAUAAUUAUUUGUUGAUUUAUAUUUCUCAUUUUUACAGUAGUACCCUGUGAUUUGUGCUUCUGACCAAUUUGUGAUUUGUUCUUAUCAUUUUAGUCAAUCUGACUUGCUACUUCAUCUCAGUAUCUUUUAGAUGUCAAGGGAUGGAGUAAAAAGUAAGUAAUCACAUAAGAAACAGAGUCUAAUGUAGAAAGUACUUGAAUGGCAUUU